GACCGUAGCUCAGUGGUAGAACAUCUGCUUGGUACGCAGAAGUUGUCAGUUGUGAUAGGGUUGGGGGAGGCCCCAGUUUGAGCUCCUGGGGAGCUACU